rnacentral:rRNA from 1 species
AUGAACGCUGGCGGCGUGCCUAAUACAUGCAAGUCGCGCGAACGGACGAGAAGCUUGCUUCUCUGAUGUUAGCGGCGGACGGGUGAGUAACACGUGGAUAACCUACCUAUAAGACUGGGAUAACUUCGGGAAACCGGAGCUAAUACCGGAUAAUAUUUUGAACCGCAUGGUUCAAAAGUGAAAGACGGUCUUGCUGUCACUUAUAGAUGGAUCCGCGCUGCAUUAGCUAGUUGGUAAGGUAACGGCUUACCAAGGCAACGAUGCAUAGCCGACCUGAGAGGGUGAUCGGCCACACUGGAACUGAGACACGGUCCAGACUCCUACGGGAGGCAGCAGUAGGGAAUCUUCCGCAAUGGGCGAAAGCCUGACGGAGCAACGCCGCGUGAGUGAUGAAGGUCUUCGGAUCGUAAAACUCCGUUAUUAGGGAAGAACAUAUGUGUAAGUAACUGUGCACAUCUUGACGGUACCUAAUCAGAAAGCCACGGCUAACUACGUG